ensembl:lncRNA
CGGAAAGACACGUCAUGCUCUUCAAACAUAGAAUGUCUCUGAAUAUCUUCAAAAUCUUUAGGUGUUCACAACUUUAUAUUUCUGCAAACUUUGAUGUGGAGUUUCUGUGGAUUUAAAUUGAAUUUGAGGAAGCCUCUGCCUGUUUUUGUCAAGGCCUUUUGACUUAAACUGAUAUCUCUGCUUGUAUUUUAUAACCUUGAAUAUAUGAAAGUCCUUCAUUUAAGAACAGAUAAGCACAGAUAUAGGGACAGCCUGGUCAAUUUAUUUAUUUAUUUAUUUUUCUCAGGUAUGCCUCACAGAAUUAUUAAUUAAUUAUUAUCUUAAAGGUAUAGGUUUCCUUAAUUAAAAUUUUGUCCUUUUUUUUUUUUUUUUUACGUCCGAUUGUCGGCUUGGUGUGUCCCAGGCUUAAGGAACACAGGAGGAGUUUUAUUUUUUAUUUUUAUUUUUUUUUGUUAAAAUGUGGAACAGUAUUUUCUCUUUUGGGUGAACUAUUCCCAAAUUAUGUAAAAAUAUGAGUAAAAUACAAUAGUACAGAUAAUUUUAAGUGUAUUAUUUACAUUUGUAUUUGCAUAAUUUCUCAGUAUUUCACAACCUUCUGAAAUAUUUAAUUCUGAUUGGGCAGUGGUCAGAUAUUUUUGUAUAAUCGCCACUAAACUGUGUAAUAAGUGGGUGAACUAUCCCUUUAAGCUGGCCAUUAUGCUAAAUAGACUAUAUAGAUGGACCUUCAUGGUCCUGGGUUUUUUAUAAUGCGACAAUGACCUGUUAACUGGAGGAACAGAAUGCUGCAGUUUAGAUGACUUGCUUUUAUUUGCACAGUAAUCACUCCGCUGUAUUUCUUGACUCUAUUGCAGGGGGAACCAGGUCUGCCAGGUCCGGGAACACUCUCGGUUGAAGAGCAAGCUCAAAAAGGGGACCAGGGUCCCCCAGGAAUUCCUGGAGAAAAGGGAGAUGCUGGCCUGCCAGGUAAACCAGGAGCACCAGGGAAAGAGGGCAAAAGGGGUCGACAGGGGAAAACAGGAGAACAAGGGGAUCCAGGACCACCGGGUCCACCUGGAACUUGUGAUGCUGAAGCUGUCAAGGGGAUGAAGGGUGACCCGGGUGUUGCAGGAAAGGAUGGACUGAAGGGCGAUAAAGGGGAUCCUGUAUGUAACAUCUCAGAGCUCUGUUUGAAAUUCCCAUCACAGACACAGCCAUCAGAUUUUCGUGUGCUUAUUUACCUCAUGAUACAUUCGUCUCUUCUAACAUCUCACUCCAUAGGGUUUGCCUGGCCUGGAGGGAGCCAGUGGAAUAAAGGGGCAAAAGGUGUGUAAUGCAUGUUUUAUUUGUUAGUUCUGCGCAUGUGUGCUGGGAGGAGGUGAGUCUGUUCACUUGUUUACCAGUUCUGUCUAAUAAAUCUUGUGUAGAAAACCUUUUUAAUAUAACU